AGGUCACACAGGCCGCCUCCUCCGGGCCCUGCUCUGCCUCAGCCUCCUCUUCCUGGCGGCUCACCUGGUCUUCCAGAUCUGUCUGCACACUGUGCCCCGCCUGGACCAGCUCCUGGAGCAAAGCUGCAGCCGCUGGGAGAACAUCUCUCGACAUGUCGGGGUCACAAGACUGGACCUGAAGGACAUUCCCAACACGAUCCGGCUGGUGGCCCCUGACCUGGGCAUCCUUGUGGUCUCCGCAGUCUGCCUGGGUCUCUGCGGGCACCUCACGAGGAAAGCGCGGCAGA